UCCUGACACACUGGUCUGUAUCGCUCCUCUGCCUGUUCAUUGUGCCUGGGGCUCUUCUGCUGUAGAAAGUGUGAUAGGAAUUUUGAGGUCUUAGAUAUAUGUUAAAUGUACAAAAGUGUACCAACCAAGCAUGUACAUAGAUCAGCACAGGAAGACCGACCUGGAACCAUUUUUGAUUCCCAAACUGUCCCAAACUGACCAAAUGUUUUCUCUGCAAGGUCAAGGAAAAUGGAAAAGCCUCCCCAUUGUCUUUUCCUUCACAAACCUAUCUUAAGGGUAUGUCUGUGUUUGAACAGGGUGAGCCUGUGACCUGACUCAGGAACUAAGUAUUUCUCAUUACUAAGUAUUUAUCAUUACAAAAGACUGGCCAGGCUCCCCAGGCAAUCCAAUCAAGUAACCUGCCAGACAGGAGAUAAACAACGACAGGAGAAAAACAACAUUCAAAUUUCUGUUUUAGACCGCCUUUUCUGUGAUGUAGGUAUGAUGUUUCUGGGGGUGGUCUUGAUCUACAGGGUGGCAAUUUCAAAAUGUCUAUAUAAGGCCUUGCACGCCAUUGUUCUGGGUUCCUCCUCCUUUCCUGCGUGUGAGGGGAGCACCCUGUUGUAACAGAUCAAUAAAGAUCAGGCUUACUAGCUGCUUUGCUUCUCAA